GGGGAUCUAUGGGGCGGGGGGAUCUAUGGGGCGGGGGAUCUAUGGGGCGGGGGAUCUAUGGGGUCUCUUCAAUCCCCCCCCCCUGCCCCAUUGCAGGUCCCAGUGAUGCUUCCUCCCCACAAGUGGUGGCUGAGAGUGACGUGGAUGAAGCCGAUGUGACCCCAAACCUGGGAGGCCCCAAAAAGCUCCUUUUUGACCCCAAAAAUCCCAUUAAUCGACCCCAAAACCGUCCCCAUAGGAGCCAUAAGGGGGCCCCAUUGACCCCAGACCCACAUAUAGGGGACCCUAUAAAGGACCCUAUAAAGGACCCUAUAAGGGACCCUAUAUUGGAUCCUAUAAGGGACCCUAUAAGAGACCCCAUAAGGGACCCCAUAAGUGACCCUAUAAGGGAUCCCAUAAGGGACCCUAUAGGGGACACUAUAAGGGACCCUAUAGGGGACACUAUAAGGGACCCCAUAAGUGAUCCCAUAAGGGAUCCUAUAAGAGACCCUAUAGGAGACCCUAUAAAGGACCCUAUAAGGGACCCUAUAGGGGACACUAUAAGGGACCCCAUAAGAGACCCCAUAAGAGACCCCAUAAGUGACCCUAUAAAGGACCCUAUAAUGGAUCCUAUAAGGGACCCCAUAAGAGACCCCAUAAGUGACCCUAUAAGGGACCCUAUAAAGGACCCUAUAAAGGACCCUAUAAAGGACCCUAUAAUGGACCCUAUAGGAGACCCUAUAAGGGACCCUAUAUUGGAUCCAAUAAGGGACCCUAUAAUGGACCCUAUAUUGGACCCUAUAAAGGACCCUAUAGGAGACCCUAUAAGGGACCCUAUAAAGGACCCUAUAAGGGACCCUAAAGAGCCCAGCAAUGGAUUUGGGGUGACGGAGGGGGAUGAUAUAGGGGCUGAGAGACCCCAUAAGGGCCAAGAGUUGGAUAAUGAGGGGGAUAUGGGGUCUAUGGGGCGGCCCCAUAAGCAUCAGCAGACCCCAAACCCACCCUAUAGGGGUCCUGGGUUUAUAGGGGGCGGCCAUAAGGAUAUAGGGGAUUUAUUUAGGAUCGACAGCGAUACGGAUGGGGACGAGGACAUUGAGUCUAUGGGGCGCCCCAUAGGGACCCCAAAAGGCUUCAAUGGGGCUGAUGGGGGGAUGGAGACCCCAAAUCCAGACCCUAAAGACCCCAUAAGACCCCAUAGACCCCAUAAGGAUCCAGCUGUGCCUAUGGAGACCCCAAAAGACCCUAAAGACCCCAUAAGACCCCAUAGACCCCAUAAACCCCAUAAGGACCCAGGAGACAUCAGAGACCCCAACGAGGACGGCGGAGCCAAAGCAGAAGUGGGCGGAGCCAGAGUGAAAAGGGGCGGAGCCAAAGCGAAAGGGGGCGGAGCCAAAGCAAAAAGAGGCGGAGCCAAAGAACAAGUGGGCGGCGCCAAAGCGAAAAGGGGUGGAGCUAAAGCAAAAGGAGGCGGAGCUAAGGCAGAAAGAGGCGGGGCUACGGCAGAAGUGGGCGUGGCUACGAUAAGCCCCGCCCCCUUGCGCCGCAGUCUCCGCCUAUUGGCCAAGCUCCUCCCACCUGACCCCGGAAGUGGGCGUGGCCAAGAAGAGCCCCGCCCCCAGAGGGGAGGCCACGCCCCUCCUCGUAAGAAAGCACGGGUGGGUGUGGCAGUGGGCGGGGCUUAAGGGUGGUGGGCGGGGCUAAGGGGUGGGGGCUGGAUGAUGAUUGGUGCGUUAAAGGGGCGGGGCUUAAUGCGGGAGAGGGGCGGGGCUUCGGGGUGGAUCCUGGCUUCUGAUUGGUGCGUUAAAGGGGCGGGGCUUAAUGAGGGAGUGGGCGGCGCUAAUGGGUGGGGGCUGGAUGCUGAUUGGUGCGUUGAAGGGGCGGGGCUUAAUGUGGGAGUGGGCGGGGCUAAUGGGUGGGGGCUGGGUGCUGAUUGGUGCGUUAAAGGGGCGGGGCUUAAUGUGGGAAAGGGGCGGGGCUUCGGGGUGGAUCCUGGCUUCUGAUUGGUGGGUUUAAUGAGGGGGGGGUGGGGCUUAAUGAGAAAGGCUCAUUGGAAGGGGGCGUGGUCUCAUUUGCAUAGCUCCGCCCACCGGAGGAGGAGCCUGAUGACGUCACCGGGCCUAAGCUCCGCCCACGAGGAAGCUCCGCCUCCUCUGGCCCCAAGGUUUGAGCCCCAUACCCCCCCCAUAGACCCCAUAGAGACCCCAUAGACCCCAUAGAGCCCCAUAUCCCCCCCAUAGAGCCCCAUAUCCCCCCCAUAGACCCCAUAUAGA
ensembl:lncRNA